CCAAAGACGGAAGAAGGAGCAUCUGCAUCCAGAAUUUCAAGGACAUCUGCCUCAUAACUCUGUCAGCUGACCGCUCAUGUCCAGCAUGCUACUCCUGGUUGUAACGACUGCCGUCAGCCUGUUGCUAGGUGCAAGCGCUCAAUUCACGGCAGACUUUGACGCCAGCAGCUGUCCCAUCAACUUCUACGGACAAACAUACAACACCCUUUUUGUG